rnacentral:rRNA from 1 species
UACAGAGGGUGCGAGCGUUAAUCGGAAUUACUGGGCGUAAAGCGUGCGUAGACGGUAGCGUAAGUCAGAUGUGAAAGCCCCGGGCUCAACCUGGGAAUUGCAUUUGAGACUGCUCUGCUCGGGUGCGGAAGAGGGAAGCGGAAUUUCCGGUGUAGCGGUGAAAUGCGUAGAUAUCGGAAGGAACACCAGUGGCGAAAGCGGCUUCCUGGAUCCGCA